GGCGCAGUGGCAGAGUGGUCUAAUGCGCAAGACUAGAAUAUCUCUUCGAGAAGCUGAUCUUGUUCCUUCGGGAGCGUCUGUUCGAAUCAGGCCUGCGUCG
rnacentral:tRNA from 1 species